UCUCAGGUAGUAUAGUGGUUAGUAUUCGCGCCUGUCAUAUUAUGUGAUCAGGGCGUGAGCGCGCGAGACCGGGGUUCAAUUCCCCGCCUGAGAG